GGUGAGAUGGCCGAGCGGUCCAAGGCGUGUGACUCGAGCGAUUACGUGUUGUUGCGUAAGCAGCUUGUCCGGUAUGGGUUUCUCAUCAUCGUAUGAUGGCAGGGGUUUGAAUCCCAUUCUCAUCA